AAAUUGAAGAGUUUGAUCAUGGCUCAGAUUGAACGCUGGCGGCAGGCCUAACACAUGCAAGUCGAACGGUAACAGGAAACAGCUUGCUGUUUCGCUGACGAGUGGCGGACGGGUGAGUAAUGUCUGGGAAACUGCCUGAUGGAGGGGGAUAACUACUGGAAACGGUAGCUAAUACCGCAUAACGUCGCAAGACCAAAGAGGGGGACCUUCGGGCCUCUUGCCAUCGGAUGUGCCCAGAUGGGAUUAGCUAGUAGGUGGGGUAAUGGCUCACCUAGGCGACGAUCCCUAGCUGGUCUGAGAGGAUGAC
rnacentral:rRNA from 1 species